CAUGCAGUCGAACGGUGAAGCCCAGCUUGCUGGGUGGAUCAGUGGCGAACGGGUGAGUAACACGUGAGCAAUCUGCCCCUGACUCUGGGAUAAGCGCUGGAAACGGCGUCUAAUACCGGAUAUGAGCUGCGACCGCAUGGUCAGUAGUUGGAAAGAUUUUUCGGUCAGGGAUGAGCUCGCGGCCUAUCAGCUUGUUGGUGAGGUAAUGGCUCACCAAGGCGUCGACGGGUAGCCGGCCUGAGAGGGUGACCGGCCACACUGGGACUGAGACACGGCCCAGACUCCUACGGGAGGCAGCAGUGGGGAAUAUUGCACAAUGGGCGGAAGCCUGAUGCAGCAACGCCGCGUGAGGGAUGACGGCCUUCGGGUUGUAAACCUCUUUUAGCAGGGAAGAAGCGARAGUGACGGUACCUGCAGAAAAAGCGCCGGCUAACUACGUGCCAGCAGCCGCGGUAAUACGUAGGGCGCAAGCGUUAUCCGGAAUUAUUGGGCGUAAAGAGCUCGUAGGCGGUCUGUCGCGUCUGCUGUGAAAUCCCGAGGCUCAACCUCGGGUCUGCAGUGGGUACGGGCAGACUAGAGUGCGGUAGGGGAGAUUGGAAUUCCUGGUGUAGCGGUGGAAUGCGCAGAUAUCAGGAGGAACACCGAUGGCGAAGGCAGAUCUCURGGCCGUAACUGACGCUGAGGAGCGAAAGGGUGGGGAGCAAACAGGCUUAGAUACCCUGGUAGUCCACCCCGUAAACGUUGGGAACUAGUUGUGGGGUCCAUUCCACGGAUUCCGUGACGCAGCUAACGCAUUAAGUUCCCCGCC
rnacentral:rRNA from 1 species